GUGUGUAUGUAGGAUGGCUGCGACAUCUGUCACCCCAUUGAUUGUCAGGGUUGAUUUGGCUGAUCUGGCUGGCUAGGUGGGUAUCUCUUCCCUUCUUCCCUGCUCUGUGUGCAUCUCUCCAGAAGCUGCGCGCUCGGUGGAAGAGGAAGACCAUCCUAGAUAGAAGGAGUGUACCGUUUUUCGGUCAAGGGUAUACGAUAGCUGCACUCCCCUGCUAGAACCUCCAAACAAGCUCAAGGUCCAUUUGAGAGAGAACAUAGGGUAGUCAAACUCAAGAAAAUACUUCAUGCAUCUGAUGAGGUAUUGUAGU